GCGGAUGUAGCUCAGUGGUAGAGCGCAACCUUGCCAAGGUUGAAGUCGCGAGUUCGAACCUCGUCAUCCGCUCCA
rnacentral:tRNA from 1 species